GUUGGCGGCCAUAGCUGGGAGCUAGGACCCGUACCCAUUCCGAACACGGAAGUGAAUCUCCCAGGCGAUCUUUGUGGUAGUGUGGUGCGAGAGCCCACGCGAAGCCUAGACCGCUGCCAACU
rnacentral:rRNA from 1 species